rnacentral:rRNA from 1 species
CGGCGGCAUGCUUAACACAUGCAAGUCGAACGCGAACGCGCCUUCGGGUGUUAGUAGAGUGGCGGACGGGUGAGUAAUACUUGGGAAUCUGCCUAGUAGUGGGGGAUAACUCGGGGAAACUCGAGCUAAUACCGCAUACGCCCUACGGGGGAAAGAUUUAUCGCUAUUAGAUGAGCCCAAGUCAGAUUAGCUAGUUGGUAGGGUAAUGGCCUACCAAGGCAACGAUCUGUAGCUGGUCUGAGAGGACGAACAGCCACACUGGGACUGAGACACGGCCCAGACUCCUACGGGAGGCAGCAGUGGGGAAUAUUGGACAAUGGGCGAAAGCCUGAUCCAGCAAUGCCGCGUGUGUGAAGAAGGCCUGCGGGUUGUAAAGCACUUUCAGUGGGGAAGAGGGGUGUUGAGUUGAUAAGGCUCGAUGCUUGACGUUACCCACAGAAGAAGCACCGGCUAACUCCGUGCCAGCAGCCGCGGUAAU